rnacentral:rRNA from 1 species
GACGAACGCUGGCGGCGUGCCUAAUACAUGCAAGUAGGACGCAGUUGCGAACGGGUGAGUAACGCGUAGGUAACUGCCUAUUCGAGGGGGAUAACUAUUGGAAACGAUAGCUAAUACCGCAUACUAGUAGAUGGUCCUUCGUUGUAUUAGCUAGUAGGUAGGGUAAUGGCCUACCUAGGCGACGAUACAUAGCCGACCUGAGAGGGUGAGAUGCCACAAUGGAUAGGAGAAAUGGCCCAGAAGUCUACGGGAGGAAGCAGUAGGGAAUCUUGGGCAAGGGGGGGAACCCUGACCGAGAAACGCCGCGUGAGUGAAGAAGGUUUUCGGAUAGUAAAGCUCUGUUGUUAAGGAAGCGGGACUUAACAAGAAAGGGACGGCUAACUACGUGCCAGCAGCCGCGGUAAUUC